rnacentral:rRNA from 1 species
AGUGAACGCCGGCGGUAGGCCUAACACAUGCAAGUCGAACGGCAGCACAGGAGAGCUUGCUCUCUGGGUGGCGAGUGGCGGACGGGUGAGGAAUACAUCGGAAUCUACCUUUUCGUGGGGGAUAACGUAGGGAAACUUACGCUAAUACCGCAUACGACCUACGGGUGAAAGUGGGGGGCCGCAAGGCCUCACGCGAUUAGAUGAGCCGAUGUCCGAUUAGCUAGUUGGCGGGGUAAUGGCCCACCAAGGCGACGAUCGGUAGCUGGUCUGAGAGGAUGAUCAGCCACACUGGAACUGAGACACGGUCCAGACUCCUACGGGAGGCAGCAGUGGGGAAUAUUGGACAAUGGGCGCAAGCCUGAUCCAGCCAUACCGCGUGGGUGAAGAAGGCCUUCGGGUUGUAAAGCCCUUUUGUUGGGAAAGAAAUCCUGUCGAUUAAUACUCGGUGGGGAUGACGGUACCCAAAGAAUAAGCACCGGCUAACUUCGUGCCAGCAGCCGCAGUAAGAC